rnacentral:rRNA from 1 species
AACGAACGCUGGCGGCAUGCCUAACACAUGCAAGUCGAACGAGACCUUCGGGCCUAUUUGCGCACGGCGGCUGAACGCGGGGGAACCUGCCCUUAGGUACGGAAUAACUCCCCGAAAGGGAUGCUAAUACCGGAUAAUGUCUUCCGACAAAAGACUUAUCGCGUUUGGAUGGGCCCUGGUUGGAUUAGCUAGUUGGUAGGGUAAAAGCCUAUCAAGGCGAGGAUCCCUAGCUGGUAUGAGAGCAUGAUCAGCCACACUGGGACUGAGACACGGCCCAGACUCGUACGGGAGGGUGGAGUGGAGAAUAUUGGACAAUGGGCGAAAGCGUGAUCCAGCAAUGCCGCGUAAGUGAUGAAGGGGUUAGGGUUCUAAAGCUGUUUUAGCCGGGAUGAUAAUGACAGUACCGGGAGAAUAAGCACCGGCUAACUACGUG